rnacentral:rRNA from 1 species
AUACGGAGGGUGCAAGCGUUAUUCGGAAUCACUGGGCGUAAAGGACGCGUAGGCGGGUUGGCAAGUCAGAUGUGAAAUCCUACAGCUUAACUGUAGAACUGCAUUUGAAACUGCUAACCUAGAGUAUGGGAGGGGGAGAUGGAAUUAGUGGUGUAGGGGUAAAAUCCGUAGAUAUCACUAGGAAUACCGAAAGCGAAGGCGAUCUCCUGGAACAUAACUGACGCUAAGGCGUGAAAGCGUGGGGAGCAAACGGCAUUAGAAACCCCAGUAGUCC